AACCAUAAAGGAGAGCAAAUUUUGGGGCAUGAUAAUACACAGAAUAUCAAAUUUCUUUUACACAUCUGAACCAUUAUUUUAGAAAGAGUUUUUUUAAUUAGAUUUCGAAGGAUAGAUUGGGGGUUUUUGGAGGAGGUGAAACAUCACUUCAAAGCACUCUUCCAACAAAUAUCAAAUCAGGGCAUCUCAUUGUGGCAACAUGCUUGUCUUUUGGAUGCAUCUAUGCUACCUUAAAGAUAUUGCUCCCAGUAAAGCAUACACAAUCACUUUAACAUGGGGACAUACACUCCACUGAAUGUUACACUUCGUGCAUACGGUUUGCACACUAUGAUAACACACCAUGACAUGUUUGGUACAUGUUGCAAUACUCAUUUUGUAGUCAAUUUAUUUCAAUGUUCAUAUUACUUUGAAAAUUGAGCCUUUUUCUUUGUAAUCUCUUUCAAAAAUUUCAAACCUAUGUGACUCAUAGUAAGAACAAGCCUUACUAGGACAAGAACAAUCAUGCUCUUAUAUCAUCUUCAUGUGUUGCUCCUUUUAUUUUGAUAUUAGAUAGAUAUAAUUCUAAGUC